CCUUAGCUGUAUCCAUGCAAGAUCCUGCACUGUACUGCCAAGGCUGUUGUUUCAACUAAUGCUGGUGGCAGGUCUGAGUUGAAGCACUGUGCAGCAGACAGCUGCACAUCACCUGUCCUCUUGCAAAGAAGAUGCAAGAAAUAUGGUAUGCACUGAGCAAAUAUGAGAAAAUU
rnacentral:lncRNA from 1 species